ACUUGUGCCAGCCGCCGCGGUAAUUCCAGUUCCAAUAGCGUAUAUUAAAGUUGUUGUGGUUAAAAAGCUCUGAGUUGAACCUUGGGCCUGGCUGGCCGGUCCGCCUCACCGCGUGCACUGGUCCGGCCGGGCCUUUCCCUCUGUGGAACCCCAUACCCUUCACUGGGCGUGGCGGGGAAACAGGACAUUUACUUUGAAAGAAUUAGAGUGCUCCAGGCAGGCCUAUGCUCGAAUACAUUAGCAUGGAAUAAUAAAAUAGGACGCGCGGUUCUAUUUUGUUGGUUUAUAGGACCGCCGUAAUGAUUAAUAGGGACAGUCGGGGGCAUCAGUAUUCAACUGUCAGAGGUGAAAUUCUUGGAUCAGUUGAAGACUAACUACUGCGAAAGCAUUUGCCAAGGAUGUUUUCAUUAAUCAGGAACGAAAGUUAGGGGAUCGAAGACGAUCAGAUACCGUCGUAGUCUUAACCAUAAACUAUGCCGACUAGGGAUCGGACGGUGUUAUUCAUGACCCGUUCGGCACCUUACGAGAAAUCAAAGUGCUUUGGGCUCCAGGGGGAGUAUGGUCGCAAGGCUGAAACUUUAAAGAAAUUGACGGAAGGGCACCACCAGGGGUGGAGCCUGCGGCUUUAAUUUGACUCAACACGGGGAAACUCACCAGGUCCAGACACAAUAAGGAAUUGACAGAUUGGAGAGCUCUUUCUUGAUUUUGUGGGUGGGUGGUGCAUGGCCCGUUCUUAGUUGGUGGGGUGACUUGUCUGCUUAAUUGCGAUAACGAACGAAGACCUUAACCUGCUAAAUAAGCCCCGCAAUG
rnacentral:rRNA from 1 species